rnacentral:tRNA from 1 species
GACUUUAUAGUAUAAUAAGUAUAAUUGUUUUAAGUGCAAUUGGUUUUUAAGUUAGAGUUU